rnacentral:lncRNA from 1 species
CAUUAAUUAUGCCUCUUCUCUAUAGUCAUAUUGUGUCUCAUUUCUUGAAAGCCAAUAAAUCAGAUGGAGUAAUGAGAAACACAAGGGCCAAAUAUCCCUUCCGAAGUAAUUUGCUGGUACAGUCAAACCUCUCUAUAAUAAUUUCGUUUGUUUCGAAAAGUUUUUUAGUUGUUAUAGCGAAGUGUUGUUACAGAGAACAUAUAUUAUAACAUAACAUGAAAAUUGGUUCCGAAAAAGCUUGGCUUUUAUAGAGAAGUGUUAUUAUAUAGGGAUACUAUUAUAGAGAUGUCUGACUGUAUUGUUUCUAACUGUUAAACCUUUGAUUCAUUUAGAUAGCUAGAAAUCCACAAGCUAUUUGCGAUAAAGAUAUAAAUUUGUGAUUUUACUGUCAUAAUAAAUAGAGUACAAUUAAUUUAAUAUGAUAAGAAUGAUUUAAUUGUGACUUUAGUAUUAUCGUGGGUAAAAGGAACGUGAAAUUAACCUUCGUGUCACUUCAUUUUCAGCCUGUCUUGAAGUUAUUAUAAUUGUUAGUAUUUCUUUUCAUGUAUUAUUCUUUUGGCUUAUUAUUUAGGGCUAAUGAUAUCUAGAUUGCACUUUGAAAUAAGCUAAUAUUUAGUUAUAAUUUGCUUGUCAUAUAUAUAAAAAGAUGAAAACUACAAUUUGAAAAGGAACAAAGUUCUUAAUUUUUAUUUAUUUAAAAAAACGUUAGUAAGGCGGUAUAUGCUUGUUAUGUGUAUAUUUAUUCUUUUUCAUUGCCCAAAAUCUGUUUAUUUGUUUGUAUAUACGUACGAAUUUAGAGAUAUCAAGAAAAGCUAGAGAAAGAAUUGAAGUACAUAACCUAGCUGGUUUUCAUUAUACUACUUCAUAAGGUUGAUGUUUCAUUUCUCUUUAUUUUCUAGAGCUUGUGAGUUGAGUCAGUAACCAAGGUCUAAGGACCCUUGUAUUUUUUGUUUUAAAUAAUGUUCUGACUAAACCCUUGUGAAUUUAAUAUAGCUUUAAAAUUAAGAAGUUGCUCGUUUACUUUUCUGCUUUCAGGAGACAACCUUGUAAACCAUUUGGAACACUCAUUUGAGCAAGAAAAUUGGAGCUAAUAAUACGAUGAAGAUACGAAGAUGAUGUAGCUUUGGCCAACCUCAACCUCGGACCUUCAUCUUUAAGGUCGAUAAUGGCGUCAUUUAAGAAUUUAAAGUAUAUUGUGCAUGGCACCAAGACAAGAGAGAAGACUCUAAACUGAGGCCUGUUGAAGUAAUAUUUAUAUGUAAAUCGAGAUGUAUACUCUUAUAGUUUUAGCUUUUUAGACGAGAUAAUCAUACAUUUUAAUAUGGUAUGAGAGCAAACAGAAGCCUUGAGUUCAAGUCUCAAUGCACUCAUUAUCAGAAAGCAUGU